AGUGAACGCUGGCGGUAGGCCUAACACAUGCAAGUCGAACGGCAGCACAGUAAGAGCUUGCUCUUACGGGUGGCGAGUGGCGGACGGGUGAGGAAUACAUCGGAAUCUACUUUUUCGUGGGUGAUAACGUAGGGAAACUUACGCUAAUACCGCAUACGACCUACGGGUGAAAGCAGGGGAUCUUCGGACCUUGCGCGAUUGAAUGAGCCGAUGUCGGAUUAGCUAGUUGGCGGGGUAAAGGCCCACCAAGGCGACGAUCCGUAGCUGGUCUGAGAGGAUGAUCAGCCACACUGGAACUGAGACACGGUCCAGACUCCUACGGGAGGCAGCAGUGGGGAAUAUUGGACAAUGGGCGCAAGCCUGAUCCAGCCAUACCGCGUGGGUGAAGAAGGCCUUCGGGUUGUAAAGCCCUUUUGUUGGGAAAGAAAAGCAGCAAGUUAAUACCCCGCUGUUCUGACGGUACCCAAAGAAUAAGCACCGGCUAACUUCGUG
rnacentral:rRNA from 1 species